AGCUCCACGUCGACAUUCUUCCAGCUGCAUAUAGUGAACUGCACAGGACUGGGGAAGAAAAGGUAAAAGCGGCGGUAGACACCUUACGAUUAGAGCGCUGCAUGUCCGCAGACGGACAUCAACCGCAGAGAAAACUGGCGUUUGCACUGUGAAUGUGUCCAUGGACUGCACCGUCCACAGAUCGCUUUCUGCUUUUGCAUUUUAGGAUCCAGACUAUUUACCCCUCGUGUUGGAUUGCAGCUGGUCCCUUGCGUCUACCUACAGUAUAUCAGAUGACAGGAGCACCCAGUCGUGAGGUGGAUAAGGUCCUGCACAAACCUAUGAGGUGGCACUGUGGCUGUCCAAAUGAAGUUCUGUGAUACACUUAGACUCUAAAUGUUUGCAGUCAGUGCAUUACAGAACUUUGUUUUGGGAGUCUAUACUUUGACAGUACUUUGGAAAAAUGUAUCCUCAUACAUCUGGACCUUUUAAACAAUAUGAUGUCAUAUUUCUGUUUACAAAUGCCUGUUUUGUCAAAUAAAGUUUCUUUGUGUUUUAA